rnacentral:rRNA from 1 species
CGGCUCAGUAACACGUGGACAACCUACCCUUAGGAUGGGGAUAAACCCGGGAAACUGGGUAUAAUACCCAAUAGAUCUGGUCUGCUGGAAUGCUUCCAGAUUUAAAACUCCGGUGCUAAGGAUGGGUCUGCGGCCUAUCAGGUUGUAGUGGGUGUAGUGUACCUACUAGCCUACGACGGGUACGGGUUGUGAGAGCAAGAGCCCGGAGAUGGAUUCUGAGACACGAAUCCAGGCCCUACGGGGUGCAGCAGGCGCGAAAACUUUACAAUGCUGGCAACAGCGAUAAGGGAACCUCGAGUGCCAGGUUACAAAUCUGGCUGUCGAGAUGCCUAAAAAGCAUUUCAUAGCAAGGGCCGGGCAAGACCGGUGCCAGCCGCCGCGGUAACACCGGCGGCUCGAGUGGUAACCGUUAUUAUUGGGUCUAAAGGGUCUGUAGCCGGCCGGAUAAGUCUCUUGAGAAAUCUGGCAGCUUAACUGUCAGGCUUUCAGGAGAUACUGUCUGGCUCGAGGCCGGGAGAGGUGAGAGGUACUUCAGGGGUAGGGGUGAAAUCUUGUAAUCCUUGAAGGACCACCAGUGGCGAAGGCGUCUCACCAGAACGGACCUGACGGCAAGGGACGAAAGCUAGGGGCACGAACCGGAUUAGAUACCCGGGUAGUCCUAGCCGUAAACGAUACUCGCUAGGUGUCGGCCACGGUGCGACCGUUGUCGGUGCCGUAGGGAAGCCGUGAAGCGAGCCACCUGGGAAGUACGGCCGCAAGGCUGAAACUUAAAGGAAUUGGCGGGGGAGCACAAGGG